UGCUCCUCAAGGCUAUAACAAAUUCAGUGGUCUUCCUCUAAAUGCCUCUGGCAGUGACUCUGAUCUCUACUUCACACAAGGGGACAACAGAAUAGGAGAAAAAUACUGGAAGGUUCGGUAUACUGAAUUUGUUGAUGCAACUUUCACUAAAAGAAAGAGACUGUCUGCUGCAGAAGCCCAUCUUGGAAUUCUUGGCCCAGUCAUCAAGGCAGAGGUGGGUGAUACCCUGUUAGUGACCUUUGCCAACAAAGCUGACAAGGUCUAUAGCAUUUUGCCCCACAGCGUGAUCUAUGACAAGGCAUGUGAUGCAGCCCCAAACCUAGAUGGUAAGUCUCACUCUGGAC